rnacentral:lncRNA from 1 species
UGAGGAAUUCAACAAUCUAAGGUUUUAUUGUGUGCAGACAGAUGUUUUUUUCCUUUGAUAUAAUUUCCUUUGACAAUAAGCUGUGGAAAACACUCUACAAAUGUUCACAAAACAAGACUAGGACAAUGAGCAGUGUUGGGCUCUGUCUCCCCGCUUCCCCCCCGCCAGAUUUCCAAUCCUCAGCUGAUGAAUUGCAGUUAAAAAUCAAGUCUGGCUGGGCAAAAGAUGGUUACGGAGAAGCUACCUGAGCAGUAAAAUCGGGGGAGACAAGCCAAAGGCGUCAGCUUGGAAGGGUCAAGGAGCAGGCCUUAGCCUAGCACAAUGGCAGGGGCUGAUGAGAGGUUGGGCACUGGCUGGGUCUGGUAAGUGCUGAGCAAGGCAGGAUAGGGCAGCAGGUUGGUGUGGGCAGGACAGAAGCAAGGAAAGGGACCAGCUCAUAACCACCCAUGGAAUCUGUAUUUGCAGAGAUCCACCUAACCAAACAUCUCACCUAUAAACCUCAGCUUCCUGUUUGUUUCAGGCCUCAAACAACAUUCAGCCCGGGAAACCUGUAGCUCUUUCACAAUGGAUCUACGGUAUCUAGAUGCAAGUUCUCUACUGCUCUUUCCCACUUUCUUAUCCAGCAAAGAAUUGCAACAGCUGUAAGCGCAUCGCUCUGUUUUCAGUUGUAAUCCCACUCACUCUCUGUGUUUGCAAAGCCUGGUUAAAAAAAAGGGGGUCCGCCCUCCCCCCUUUUUAAAAAGCACACAUUUUACUUGAAAUCCCACAAAACGUGCAUGUGACAUGCAGAUAUCCACUUGCCCAUUUCAAAUGGCAUAACAAAAAUACAGCACACGAACAGCUUAUAUUUUGCACCCUCAGUUAUGGGCACAUAAAUACUGGAAAUUUAUGGUUUGUUUGUUUUUUAAAAAAUAGUGCCACUAUGAGUUGGUGAAUGAGGUGGUGGUGGGAGAAAAUUGUAGGUGCACAGUGUUUUACAAAGUCAGCCAAAGGUUCUAGUCCACAGUUUUCUAGUAGGCUAGUAAAGCAAAUUGACUUUGGUCAUUUGCAGUUCAAAGAAAACUUUUGCUUUCCUUCAUGCUACUCAGAAAACAGCUUAGAAAGAAAUAGUUGCUGAUAUGGCUAAGCAAAGGGUGGUAUUGCUGUGAGAGAACCCACAGGAUAUAGCACCUUGCAAAGUCUACCCAAGGUACUAGUCCACAGUUUUCUACCAGUACUGGUAAAAUAAUCUAUUUUCUAUCAUUUGCAAUUGGCAGAGUUGGCUGGGUACGUUUGCUUUUCCUCUAAUAUCUCCUGGAAGCAACCUUCUGCUGCCAAGAAGUGACCGGGGAAAGUGGUUCGCUCCAAACGUGCUCCAGGAAUCCAGACUGGGAUUUCUUUAAAGGCAUAAUGAAAAGCACUUUAUAUUAAGCAGAUUUUGCUGGAACGACAGAAAUGAGGAGGGCCUGCUUUGCUCAGCUGCAAUGCAGCAAGAGAAUGUAAAGACUGGACCUUUUGAGAGUCAGGUAACGAUACCAUUAGUCAAACAAGCCCUGUUUCUGGGGAACACAGCCUGUAGACUCAUGCCACUUAAUGUUUGGAGACGGACUCUGCAUCAAUCUGUCCAAAUCUUUGAGAACUGGGAAAGGGAACUGUUUAUACCUUAUUUAUCAAUGCAGGGUGGGAGGAUUCUGAAUGCAGCUCUGAGGCAAUUUAGACCUAAGAGGAAAUAGAGAGGAAAACCCUGCAGAUUUAAUUUUCAUGGAGCCGAGGAUCAAGAGAUCCUCUCCUUAUGCUCUAUUACUCCAAGAUAAUUUCUCCCCAGUCUGUUGCAAUCCAAGGUAUUCCCCCCGCCCCAGCUAGCUCUGACUGAAUAAGUCCACACGGUUCCCCCAUCAAACACAUACUUUUGGCCCUUAAUUCCAGUGGCGCUGAGAAUCCAAGACGGCCUCUCCACUUAGGACCGAACCAACUCUAGGACUUUCUAGCCACAGGUGGGCAACUGGCGGCCAAGAAAAACAUUUCACACUCUUUACAGCUGAACACUUUGCUUGCUUACUCAGUGGUAAGACUCUGUGGUCAACGAGGACACUCGCAGAUUAAGGGUCGCUUCCACUGCUAUUAAGAGUAAAGCCAUUGAAAUGAAUGAAACUAACUUAGGCAUGCCCAUUAAACUCCAGUGGGUCUACUCCAAGCAGGACUAGCAUUAGUAAAGCCCUGCGGGACUGCAGCCAUCUUCCCCGCACCCAAAGAAUUGUGCAACAAGAGGAAUAUCUACAGUAAGGCUGUUUUAUACCCAGCCAGAUCAUGGGCUCAUCUCUCAGUCUUGCCCUUUCCUAUCUGGACUGGGAGGGCGGGGACCUGGUUGGCUCCGCCUACAAAGGCUGUUCAAGGUUCCAAGAGACCACCAGGGUGAGGAUUGGCUAGGGGUUGUUGCUGGUGGUGAAGAUUUAGGUUUGGAGAUGCAUGGAUUUGGUCACAGCACUACAUGGCAAGAAAGUGGCAACUUCCAGAGCAGAGGGGAGCAGGGAGCAGCUGAUUUAGCAGUUCCUUACACACACACACAUACCCCGUUACUGCCUUCAUACCCCUAUGUUAGACAUCUGCAGCUGCAAACUGGGGAGUUGGGGUAGACAACCACACUUAAUGGUGCUUUCCAGCCUGGUUGCCCAGGGGUCAUUUCUCCUGGUCACUGGCCCUUGUAAGACAGUGCUCCCUUUCCUUCCUCCACCUGAGGGCUAAGGGAAGACCAUAGAAUCACAGAAGAGUUGGAAGGGACCACAAGGUCCAAGCCUCUGCAAUGCAGGAAUCUUUUACCCAGGAUGGGGCUCGAACCCACAACCCUCAGAUUAAGAGCCUCAUGCUCUACCGACUGAGCUAUCCCAUGCAAGCAAGCUGCUCAGCUAUGCUUCCCAGCUGAAAGAUGGAGGGCUAUGGCUUAGUGGAAGAACAUCUUGCUGUGCAUGGAAAGGUCCCAGUUCAAUCCUUGUCACCUCCUCGAACUGUUCCCUGAAACCCCUGAGAGAUGCUGCCAGUCAGUGCCCAUAAUACUAGGCGAGGUGGGCCAAUUGUACAAGGUGGUUUCUUUUACACACUAGGCUUUUCUUCAGAGAAAAGACCAAGAUCUGUUUUGCGGACAGACUAAAAACUGGUCACCUUGGGCUGGGUUAACUGGAAAGCUUUGCCCUGAUACUUGAUAAUGUUAUGGGUGCCAGACCUCUCUAUUCCCUGGGUCCAGUAAGUGUUAGAAUUUAAUCAAGGCUUGGAGUAUUAAAUUGAGUACUAGACACUUCUAAUCCCUGGAUUCAGCAAGUGUUAAAAGCUAAUUGAGAUAAGUUAGGCUGCUGGGUGAUGGGCCAUUAAGAAAACAAAGGACCAAAGGGCUUAUCUUAGAUGAAAAAUGGGUGGGGGGCCUUUUUCAAUGGAAAAAGCCAGAGUUUAGAGUAGAGAGGUGAGAAGGAAUGUGCCCUAGAAGCAAAGCAGCAAGCUGGAGAGAGAGAGAGAGAGAGAGAGAGAGAGAGAGGGAGCGUAACAUUAGAAAGCCAUGUUUGAUGUCUGUUUGAAUCCAAGGCUGUAGGUAUGGAAGAAACAAGACCCUUUUGGGGUGCUGAUGCUGUGAACCCCUCCAUCGUAGUUUAAUAAAUAAACAAUAUAUCAUAGAUAAAUAAACCAUAUAUAUUAAAGGCAACACAGUCUCUGCCAGGCCUCAUUUCCUAAAGGAAACACAAACCCUGAGUAAGCUCCUGGAACCCCAGAAUCUUGAAUUGCUCGGAGAUUAGAUUGGUGUGCAACACUGGUGUCAGAACUUGGGAUUCGGGUUUCCUGGAGGAAGACCUAUGAGAGAUGUGUACCUGAAUCGGAGGGAACAACAGCCACCCUCCUUGAGUGGCUUAAGAGAGUGAAGCAGCAAUAAAGCAGGCGGUUGGACAAAAUGGGUCAGCUGCUGGCAGAGUGGCCCCGAAUUCCCCGUGGAGAUGAAAGCAUGACUAGGUGUGAGGUGAGAGCCCUGCCUCAUGAGAUGCUACAGGGGUUUGGAAGUGACCCAGGAGCUCAGCUACAAGAUGCUUAGAUGGAAGGGUGGCCAAACAGAUCCACUGUGUGGCUGGGCAGCUGAGGGGCUUGGACCGCAAAGUUAGUAGCUGAAGGCAAGGGGAAAGACAAUGCCUCCAGCUGGCUGGAGCUGAGCAGCUGCUGCUGAUUGAUUUCUCCACUCCCUCGGAGCCUGCUGUGGAAAAAGGAGAGUGCAGGAGACAGGUGCCUCAGCGGAGGGCACACUGCAGGAUGGAAGUGAAGAGCUGCUGCCUAGAGAUCUCACUCCCUGAGUGCCAGCGGUGGAGGGGCAGAGACACAAGGUGUGCGUGCGUGAGCAAGGGGAAUCGGCGCUUGCGGAGGGGCCAGAAAAAGAGAGGUGUGAAUAUUCGUGCGCAAGUAGAGCAGCGGUGUUUUUCUCGGUGGCGGAAAAGGCACCGGAAAAGCUAGAGGCAUAAGUGUGCAUAAGUGGCCUACAGAGGUGCCAAAAAGAAGAGAUGCAGCAGGAGAAAUUGGAGGUGUGAGAGAGCAUGCAAGAAGAGCAGCUUGUGUCUGAGGAAAUGGAUGAGAUAACCGCCCGCAAUGAUUUUGCCCCUUGGGUGCCCCGAUAUGGACUUGCACGGUCGGGACCCAUCCCUAUACAGUGGUACCUCUGGUUGCAAAUGGGAUCUGUUCCAGAGCCCUGUUCGCAACCUGAGAGGAACGCUACCCGCGUCUGCGCACACGCGGGUCACAAUUUGCUGCUUCUGCACAUGUCCGUGAUGUCAUUUUGCGCAUCUGCACAUGUGCGAGCAGCAAAACUUGGAAGUAACCCUUUCCAAUACUUCCGGGUUGCUGCGGGACGCAACCUGAAAAGACGUAACCUGAACCGAACGUAACAAGAGGUAUGACUGUACUGGGUGCAGCUCAGCACCCACAGUCACCCAGGAUCCCAUGGGUGUUGGAGGAAAGAGCCACUGGGAGGAUUACCUCCCUUUCUUUCGGCCCAUGAAGCAUUCAGGAGAUGUUGGGAGUAAGCAGAGAGGGGGAUGCCUGGCUGUUGGGAGGAAACAGAGGGCAAUUUCUGGCCACCAACUUAGGGGGUCUGAUCCUAAUGGAGGUAUCCCCAGGUAAAGACUUUGAUUUGCAGUUUGGGGGCAGGGGAUGAAGUGGACUGGCCCAGGGUUAGCAAGAGGAAAAAAGAUGAAGAGGACCAUCAGUGUGCCAGUGCAGAAGCAGAUGUGUUCCUACGGUUGUGUCUUGAAGCCCUGCAUGCCGCUGCAGAGACUGUUUGGGGAGUGGAGUUUGGAGCCUCCGAUCCACAACCAGAGGGGAGGGGAAAGAGAAAUUUGAAAAACAAACCCUGAAUGUGUGAUUUGAACCCCAAAGUAACGGUUGAUCUACUUGGAAAUGAGAACUAUGUGAAAUCCCAAGACAAACAGUAAUGCAAGCAACUGCAUGGCAUGGGGGGGGGUUGUGCCGCAAGUGGCGCUGUGGGUUAAACCACAGAGCCUAGGGCUUGCUGAUCAGAAGGUCGGCGGUUCGAAUCCCCACGACAGGGUGAGCUCCUGUUGCUCUGUUCCUGCUCCUGCCAACCUAGCAGUUCAAAAGCAGUUCAAAAGCACAUCAAAGUGCAAGUAGAUAAAUAGGUACCACUGUGGCAGGAAGGUAAAUGGCAUUUCUCUGUGCUGCUCUGGUUUGCUAGAAACGGCUUAGUCAUACUGGCCACAUGACCCGGAAGCUGUACACCAGCUCCCUUGGCCAGUGAAGCGAGAUGAGCGCCGCAACCCCGGAGUUGUCCGCAAUUGGACCUAAUGGUCAGGGGUCCCUUUACCUUUAAUUAUUUGCUGCAGUGGACCAUUCUGGAAGUUUUGGCAAGUUUUAUUAAUUUUCUGAAUGCUGUUGAUUUGUGUUUUUUGCAUGUUUGUGGUGAUGGGGGCUGUUGAAUGAUUUGUAGGAACUGUUCAGCUAACUGUAUGUUUGAAAGCUGCCUUGUGAAGCGAGAGCACAAGGGAAAGAAUGAACAAGGGUGCUGAGAGCUGUAUCCUGGCUUAAACAUGUCAAAACUCACUAUCUUGGACAUGCCAAGCGUGGAACGCAGAACUGACUCAGAGUGUGUGCUAAGGAGAAAGGAGAAGGCCUGACUUGUUUGAAAGGAAUAAGCUGUUACUGUACUCAGUACUGGGUUAGGUUAAAAGUGUCAUUGUGCAUUAUUAUCUGUUUUUAAUGAUGUGUGUUUUAAUGCCUUGGCUUACUUGUCUGUGAAUUUUCUACAGGGAAGAGAUAUUUUGCUGUUUGUUGAAAAUGUGUGGACAGGUGUCUGAUUUUUUUUUUAGGGGGGGCAGGUAGUGUUAUGAGUUUGUGGGUGCCAGACCACUCUAAUCUCUGGAUCCAGUAAGUGUUGAACCAAGGCUUGGGGUGUUAAACGGAAUGCUAGAAGCGUCUAAUCUCUUGUUUCAGCAAGUGUUCAAAAGCUAAUCAAGUCAGGCUACCCUCCUGGGUGAUGGGCCAUUAAGAGAACAAAAGACCUAAGGGCUUGUGCUAGAUUGCGAAUGGGUGGGUCCCCCUCCCUCAACAGAUAAAGCCAGAGUUUAGGGUUGAGAGGUGAGGAGAGAUGUGUCCUAGAAGGAAAGCAGCAAGCUGAAGAAAGAGAGGGAGAGCAAUGUUAGAAAGCAAUAUUUGGUGUCUGUUUGGAUCCAAGGCUGUGACUAUGGGAGAAACAUGACCUUUUUGAAGUGCUGAAGCUG